AAUGAACGUUGGCGGCGUGGAUUAGGCAUGCAAGUCGAGCGAGAAGUUCCUUCGGGAACGGACAGCGGCGAAAGGGAGAGGAAUACGUAGAAAUCUACCCCUGAGACCGGGAUAGCGUCGGGAAACUGGCAGUAAUACCGGAUAACGUCUUAGGACCAAAGGUGUGAUUCCACUUGGGGAUGAGUCUACGCCCUAUUAGCUAGUUGGUGGGGUAAUGGCCUACCAAGGCAAUGAUGGGUAGCGGGUGUGAGAGCAUGACCCGCCUCACUGGGACUGAGAACUGCCCAGACACCUACGGGUGGCUGCAGUCGAGAAUCUUUGUCAAUGGACGAAAGUCUGAACAAGCGACGCCGCGUGCGGGAUGAAGGCCUUCGGGUUGUAAACCGCUGUCGUAGGGGAACAAAUGUACGGGGUUCGUCCCCUCGUAUUUGAGUGAUCCUAGGAGGAAGGAGAGGCUAAGCUCGUG
rnacentral:rRNA from 1 species